rnacentral:rRNA from 1 species
CCUACGGGUGGCAGCAGUGGGGAAUAUUGCACAAUGGGGGAAACCCUGAUGCAGCGACGCCGCGUGAGUGAAGAAGUACUUCUUUAUGUAAAGCUCUAUCAGCAGGGAAGAAAAUUACGGUACCUGAGUAAGAAGCCCCGGCUAACUACGUUCCAGCAGCCGCGGUAAUUCGGAGGGGGCAAGCGUUAUCCGGAUUUACUGGGGGGAAAGGGGGCGUAGGCGGGAGUGCAAGUCUGGAGUGAAAGGCGGGGGCCCAACCCCCGGACUGCUCUGGAAACUGUAGGGCUGGAGUGCAGGAGAGGUAAGUGGAAUUCCUAGUGUAGCGGUGAAAUGCGUAGAUAUUAGGAGGAACACCAGUGGCGAAGGCGGCUUACUGGACUGUAACUGACGUUGAGGCUCGAAAGCGUGGGGAGCAAACAGGAUUAGAUACCCGGGUAGUC